rnacentral:lncRNA from 1 species
GGUGCCGUGUUCUCCGCGACACAGAGAGCUGGGUCGGCGACCUGGCGGAGCUGGACCCCUGUCUGACCUGGGUUACCGGGUGGACAGUUGUCGCGCCGCGGAGCUGCGCAAGAUCCAGGCGCGCAGGCGCGUGUUAGCGCAGACCGACGGCUCUGCCUAUGUAGAGCAAUCUUCACACCCAGGCGCUGGCAGUGGUCUACGGGCCGCACGAGGCGAGCGGGCAGCGCCUCCCUUUUACGCACGAAUGCUCAAUGCCGCCUGUCGGAUGAGUAAAUGCCCAAGUUAUUAAGGUGCAUCCCUGGGUAUGCCCUGUCUCUCUCCUGCGCCCUGCACUCCGCAGUCGGGCUCCUCAUCAUGUCAGGCUGUCGCCCAUUCGGCCACUUCCCCGCAGUUCUACUCACGUCACGUUUGGGAACGUCAUUUCUACUUAAUCUUACUCGUUUGUCUUUCACGGAAACAUAAACUCUCUGAGAGCCUCGACUUUAAAUAAAAUUGUCUGAUUUUAUUGCUACGUUCUACGCUGUAAAAGUGCCUCCCCAAUACAGAAAUAAUUUUUAAUUGCUUAGCACAUAAUGUGAGAGCCCAACUUCCUAGGUGAAAGAAGCCAGGAUGAAGGCAAUGGAUAGAAACAAACAUGACAUUUCUGCAAAGCCGAAAGAAUGCUGGUGGAUGGAGAGGAGAUAAUUCCAAAUAACCGUUUCCAGGGAGAUCGGGGUUCCAAGUCUGCCUGACCGGGCUCUGGUGAACUGUCAGUAUAGUUCAGCAACCUUCAGCACAGGUGAGCGCAAGCAGAGGCCACAUGGAGGCUGUAAGACCUGUGAAAUGGGCCUACAGCUGUGCCAGACCUUUUCUUACUGAGCUGCACCCACGAUCCCAGAUUGACAUCUGUGUGCAGGUGCUGCAGGCUGAUAGUGGAACCUAUGCAGCUUGUGUGAUGGCAGUGUUGGAUGCUGGGAUACCCAUGCCGGACUUUGUGCAUGUUCAGCUGGUUUUGUGGAAGACACAGCCCUGGGAGACCUCAGCCACGUAGAGGAAACAGCUGGUGGUCCCCAACUAGCCCUGGCCCUGCUGCCAGCCUCAGGCUGGAUUGAAAUGGAUGCCCGGCUGCAUGAGGACCACUUGCAGCGGGUGCUAGAGGCCACUGCCCAAGCUGCUAGAGAUGUGCACACCUUGUUGGACCAUGUGGUAUGGCAAUAUGUGCAUGAGGCAUCUAUCUUGCUGGGGGACUGAGCACCCAGCCACCUAUGUCCAGAAUAAAGUCUGCUCAACAACAAUAACAAAAGCAACUAGUUUCAAGUGGCCCAUACCUCUAGUCCCAGUCACUCAGGAGACUAAGGCAGGAGGACCCCUUGAGUCCAGGAGUUGGAGGCCAGUGUGGGCAACAUAGUGAGACAAAAGAAGAAAGGAGAGGAAAGGAAGACAAACAGGUUUGUGUUAUUUAUUUUUUUAAAUAUUUUUUUGGUACCAGGGAUUGAACUCAGGGGCGCUCAACCACCGAGCCACAUUUUGUAUUUUAUUUACCGUCAGGUUCUCAUUGAGUUGCUUAGUGCUUCACUUUUACUGAGGCUGGCUUCAAACUCGGGAUCCUCUUGUCUCAGCCUUCAGAGCCGCUGGGAUUACAGGCGUGUGCCACUACUCCCUGCCCAGGUUUGUGUUUGUAAAUGAGGAGAUAUAAACUGGGCACAGUCGCUAAUGCCUGUAAUCCCAGUAGCUUGGGAGGUUGAGGCAGAAGGAUCAAAAGUGCAAGGCCAGCCUCAGCAACCUGGCGAGACCCUGUCUCAAAAUAAACAAUAAAAAGGGUUGGGGAUGUGCUCAGUGGUACAGUGCCCCGGUUCAACCCCCAGCACCAAAAGAAAAGAGCAGAUGCAGCCUGGCACACAGGCCUGGGGAAGGCGUGGCAGGCCUGGUUCUUCAUAAUUAGGGCUUCAUUUCAGCAUCACCUUCAUAUCUUCCUCAGCUGGAAUCCUAUUCUCCAGCACCUGGGAAGUGAGCACCCUUGGCUCUGGGCUGGAGCUCACAAGGUGUUUUCCAGACACCCUGCAGUGAGAAAGUGCAGCUUCUGACUUGGUUACUGCCUGCAGCCCUAGUGGCCACACCCAGCAUUCUUGAAGGGAAAGGCCAAGGUACAGCCAGGCUAGUGAUUGACAGAUGGGGCAGGGGCCCUAGACAUCCCUGCCUGAGCAGGUGAGUCAGCCACAACCCAGGUCCUACGGGACUGUCACGGAGACCAAAGUACAAUCUGUAAUGAUCUGAGCAUAGAACCUGCUUUUACAAAUAAGCGCACUGAAUUUGCGCACAGUUUUAACACACUAAAAUUUCUAAAUAACUUUUUUUUCCUUAGGGAUCAUUUUUCAGGGUGUUUCUAUGCACAGAGGCCUGUGACCUCUGUAUUGUUGUGGCAGGAGUCAUGCGCAAGCAUUCAGGUUGGUUUUCCCUGCGUUUCUCCUUUACUUUAGAGUUUGGGCAUUUCCAAAUUCACCAUGUAGACAUGUGAGCUUGCAGUUUCCCUCAGAUAGUAGACAGGAUACUAAGCGUGACCUGUUUGAGGACACUUUGUGUCUGAAGGGGCUGAGACUUCUGGCACCGAGACCUUAAGGCCACCCCUGCAGUCCCUGCACCUGAAAUAGUGGAAGGUGCCCAAAUAUUUGUUGACUGAAUGACUUCACUAGGACAAUCUUUUGGAGAAGUUGCUGGUAUUAAUAUGUCCUUUGCAUAUAGUAAGUGACCAAUAUAUAUUUCUUGAACGAAUAUAUGAAAAUGGUUGAGCUUUUGGCAGGAGAGGAAGGCUGUAGGAAUUAUGUUUAAGGUGAUUUUGUCACUUACCCAGCCCUUUGGGAAUUGGGGGAACAUUUGAGGGGCCCAUGCAGUGAAUUUAAUUCAAGAAAUAGACUCUGAAGGGAAAUAAAGGUAAGAAAGAAAGGCUUCCAUACUUUCAUUUUGUUUGUUCAUUGAACCAAUGUCUAUCUAUUACCUACUGUGUGUCAGGUCCUAGGAGGCGAACUAUCCAUGGUAGCAAUAGGCUUUGGGAAAGAGAUGAUUAAAAAAAUACAGCAGUGUAAAAAAUAGAAAUGUUUUAAAAAUUAGCUUUAAUCUUCCUUCCCAGACGAUCUCAGUGAAAUUUAAAAAAUAAUGUAUAUAUAGUCAUUUCCCCUUACACUGGCGGACACAUUCCAAGACCCCCAUUGGAUAUCUGAAAACUUAGAUGGUACUGAACUAUAAAUACUUUUUUGCCUCAUACCCGUGAUGAUGUUUAAUUUAUAAAUUAGAAAAUACAGGGCUGGGGAUGUGGCUCAAGUGGUAGCGCGCUCGUCUGGCAUGCGUGCGGCCCGGAUUCGAUCCUCAGCACCACAUACAAAGAAAGAUGCUGUGUCCACUGAAAACUAAAAAAUAAAUAUUUAAAAAAAAAAAAGAAAAUACAAACAAUCUUGAGAUCACCAGAUUGAUUUCAUUCCUAUGUUCCUUUCCAUAGCUAUCCCUCAUCAGGUGUGUGUGUGUGUGUGUGUGUGUGUGUGUAUGUAUGUAUUGAACCUAGGGCCUCGUGCAUGUGAGGCAAGCACUCUGCCAACUGAGAUAUAUUUCCAGCCCCGACCGGGUUUUCUUUAUUUUUUUUAAAAUUUUUUCAACAUUUAUUCUUCAGUUCUCGGCGGACACAACAUCUUUUGUUUGUAUGUGGUGCUGAGGAUUGAACCCGGGCCGCACGCAUGCCAGGCGAGCGCACUACUGCUUGAGCCACAUCCCAGCCCCGGGUUUUCUUUAAAAGGAGUGACAGGAACCCCAAGACACACUUCUCACUCUAGAGAUGCUCCACAUUCCCUUGAAUGUGAAUCUACUUUCCUAAAUCAACCUCUGUCUAGGUCUCUGGAUAACGCUUGCUUACACUGGUUUUCCACAUGUGAGCCUAGCACCCUGCUAAUCCUGAGUCAGGUUCCCACUUCUCUCUGGGAGCCCCUCAGUCAUUUCUCUGAAAAUACCUCUCCUCCCAUGACAGUACUCUGAAAUACUAUCUGAAAAAUCCUGCCAUCUGGGCAGCCCUGCCGCUGAAAACCCAAUCUGCCUCUGUUUGCUUUGACUGAGUAAACAUUUUGUUAUUGUUUACAUGACAUGCAAUUAUACACCGGGUCACAAGUCUAUUUGUGAUCAUUUGCAUGGUUUCCUAAAUUUACAAGAUGUUUAAUGUUGUUCUUUAAUUUUGGUCGGUCAGUGAUGUUAAACUGUACAGACCUAUUAAAGGCAGAGUCACAUAAUGAUAGUUACCCUACACACCAGGGAUUCUACAUUUUACUUCAAAAAUAAAAGCUAGAUUAAUGUGCAAAGGACUUUUAUGUAACUGCAAUGCUAAUUAUUAUCAGCUUCUUUGAAACUUCAUUGUAUUUAUGUUCACCAAGUGUACAAACCUUCUAAGUUACAAAGUUUAGGAGAACACUGUGUGUGUGUGUGUGUGAGUGUGUUACUGGGGAUUGAACCCAGGGCACUUUACCACUGAGCCACAUCCCCAGCCCUUUUUAUUUUGUAUUUGGAGAUAGGGUCUUGCUAAGUUGCUUAGGGCCUCACUAAAUGUUGAGGGUAACCUGUAACUUAUGAUCCUCUACCUCAGUCCCCUCAGUUUCUACUCAGUUGCUGGGAUUUCAGGCAUGUGCCACUAGCUUGGCUUUAGGAGAACACUUUACCAAGUUGGGGUUUUCCAAGUUAAAAUUGUUAGCAGUGGGGCUGGGGCUAUGGCUCAGCGGUACAACACUCACCUAGCACAUGCGAGGCACCGGGUUUGAUCCUCAGCACCACAUAAAAUAAAUAAAUAAAUAAAAUAAAAGUAUUGUGUCCAACUACAACUAAAAAAAUAUUUUAAAAAAAUUGUUAGCAGUGAUGAUCUUUUUCUGGCUUAUGUUUGUGUGUUCCUAAUUGUUGGGUUGAACACUAGGCAGCGUAUGGGAAAGCUUGCAAUGAGAUUAGGUCUCUAAGAAAAAGAGGUAAUGAGGGAAAUGAGGAUGGGGGCUGGCCACUGUCCUUAUCUGCAGGCCUCAGG